ACCUUGCGAGCAGUACUGGCGGGCUUCUUGCCCCCCACCGACUACUCCUACUUGUCGGUCAACUGCCACUGAAUGUGCUUGCGGUUGUGUCAAUCUUUCGGGAGCCAUUCGUCCACAAAACGGAAGCGCAUCGCCCAAUGUAAAAAGAAAGCAGAUGGGCGCGCCUGGAAUCAGUGGUUAAAUGAUUGACGCUAAAGUUGCGGUCAUUGUUUGGCCACGACAGCAAGAGGACUCAUAUUUUUUCGUGGUUCUAUUCGCGCGUAGCCAACUGCAGUGAGAAGCAUGUAUGACUUUUGUAUAUGGAAUAAAGGCACACAAAACAAUUCAUAGACAGA